rnacentral:snRNA from 1 species
UAGUGUUACAGCUCUUUUAGAAUUUGUCUAGCAGGUUUUCUGAGCAGAGCGAAAGCUUUU